AUGAGAUACUUGGGGCUACCCCUCUCAUUUAGGAGGCUAAAGAGGAUCCACUUCCAAUUCCUAGAGGACAAGAUUGCCGACAAGCUCCGGCCUUGGGCGGCUAGGCAUGUUGCCACCCCCGGUCAUAUUGUUUUGGUUAAAGCGGUGCUCAUGGACAUUGAAUUUACCAUCUCACGCCCCUUGAGCUACCGGCUGAAGUCAGAAAGAAAAUUGAUAGCUUGGGACGCGCCUACAUAUGGGCUGGCUGUGACAAGGUCACCACUGGGAAAUAUAAAGUCAAUUGGGACCUGGUGUGCAGCCCAAGAUUUUUGGUGGCCUAGGUGUGCUCAAUCUCGACAAGUUUGCCAUCGCCCUUCACCUUUGUUGGCUUUGCUAAGAAUGGGUCGACCCUCCCAAGCCUUGGUUAGGCAGUGGGAUGCCAUGUACUGA
rnacentral:rRNA from 1 species